rnacentral:rRNA from 1 species
UACGAAGGGGGCUAGCGUUGUUCGGAAUUACUGGGCGUAAAGCGUGUGUAGGUGGUUGUCCAAGUUGGAUGUGAAAGCCUUGAGCUCAACUCAAGAAAUGCAUUCAGGACUGGGCGGCUAGAGGACCGGAGAGGAUAGUGGAAUUCCCAGUGUAGUGGUGAAAUACGUAGAGAUUGGGAAGAACACCAGUGGCGAAGGCGGCUAUCUGGACGGUUUCUAACACUAAGACUCGAAAGCGUGGGGAGCAAACAGG